rnacentral:misc_RNA from 1 species
AACGCACAUUGCGCCCAUUAGUAUUCUAGUGGGCAUGCCUGUUCGAGCGUCAUUUCAACCCUUAAGCCUAGCUUAGUGUUGGGAAUCUACUUCUCCUAGGAGUUGUAGUUCCUGAAAUACAACGGCGGAUUUGUAGUAUCCUCUGAGCGUAGUAAUUUUCUUCUCGCUUUUGUUAGGUGCUAUAACUCCCAGCCGCUAAACCCCCAAUUUUUUGUGGUUGACCUCGGAUCAGGUAGGAAUACCCGCUGAACUUAA